rnacentral:rRNA from 1 species
UACAGAGGGGGCAAGCGUUGCUCGGAAUUACUGGGCGUAAAGGGCGCGUAGGCGGGUUUGCAAGUCGGUCGUGAAAUACCUCGGCUCAACUGAGGAGCGGCGAUCGAAACUGCCGUUCUUGAGGGUUGCAGAGGAGACUGGAAUUCCCGGUGUAGCGGUGAGAUGUGUAGAGAUCGGGAGGAACACCGGUGGCGAAGGCGGCCCCCUGGUUGGAUACUGACGCUGAGACGCGAAAGCGUGGGGAGCAAACAGG